rnacentral:rRNA from 1 species
CGCGAAAAAAGCUUGCUGACACAAGAUGAGAUUUGAGUGUUGGAUGUUUCUUAGCGGCGGACGGGUGAGUAACGCGUGAGUAACCUGCCUUAUACAGAGGGAUAGCCUUGAGAAAUCGGGAUUAAUACCUCAUAACGUAUUCGAAUCACAUGGUUUGAAUAUCAAAACUCCGGUGGUAUAAGAUGGACUCGCGUCCCAUUAGCUAGUUGGUGAAGUAACGGUUCACCAAGGCGACGAUGCGUAGCCGACCUGAGAGGGUGAUCGGCCACAUUGGGACUGAGAUACGGCCCAGACUCCUACGGGAGGCAGCAGUGGGGAAUAUUGCGCAAUGGGGGAAACCCUGACGCAGCAACGCCGCGUGAGUGAUGAAGGUCUUCGGAUUGUAAAGCUCUGUCUUUUGGGACGAUAAUGACGGUACCAAAAGAGGAAGCCACGGCUAACUACGUGCCAGCAGCCGCGGUAAUACGUAGGUGGCAAGCGUUGUCCGGAUUUAUUGGGCGUAAAGGGUGCGUAGGCG